CGAAGAGGAGGCGCCGCCGCUCCCGGCCGCCAGCCCGGCCCCCCCACAGUAGAGGUUGAGUCCGAUUACAGCGUUUCUCUUGAGGCCAAACAUCGUAAGCUGCUGCUGCCUCCGCCGCCGCCUCCUCCUCCUGGGUUGGGAGGAGCUGAGACCUCCUUCAGGAACAUAGCUCUGCACUAAAUUCAUGCUGAAGAAGAGAAGUCUUACCUGGGGUGGAACUACCUGCCUUCUAUCUGGUAUUAGAAAAUACCAGUUUUUUGUCUGUUUUUUUCUCUCCCUCAAAAAUUUCAGCAGGCAUCAUGCACAGAAUCUACAGUAGGAGCAAGCCUCGGCUUGUUACAUGGACACAGCGAGCCUCCUCUUGGAUAGGGGUCUGCUGGAGGAGAGGAGCCCGAGCCACAGGCCCAGAAAGCAUUUUGCCUCCUUUUUAUUCUUCCAUUUCAGCCAGGCAAGGAUGAGUUGAUGUCUUGUGUCUUCUCUUCCCUGUGUCUUUCAUUUCAAAUUGCAGAAAUGAAGGGGCGCCUGGGUGGCUCAGUCGGUUGAGCGUCCCUCUUCGGCUCAGGUCAUGAUCUCGUGGUCUGUGAGUACGAGCCCCGCGUAGGGCUCUGUGCUGACAGCUCAGAGCCUGGAGCCUGUUUCAGAUUCUGUGUCUCCCCCCAUUCCCCACUGCCCCCCCCCCCCCCCGCUCAUGCUCUGUCUCUCCCUCUCUCUGUCAAAAAUAAACAUAAAAAAACAAAACAAAUUGCAGAAAGGAGGAGAUCAUAUGCCCAGACUUCCCCUCCCAAAACAGCUUUCCAGCUGAACACAACAAAGACAAAAAACCAAAGCAACCCUCCUCCCUCCCACAACAGUUUUUUACCUACUGUCAGAGGAGGCAUAAGCCAAGAUUUCCAAAGGCACUAGUGGCUGCUUCCCAGGUGUCCCAGAAUGGGGUUUUAUUUUAGCGUGAGAACAAAUUCCAUUUAUUGAGCGUCUACUUUGCCAGCCACGGUCCAAAUUUCUUUACAUACACCUAAUUCAUUCUAACAAAAGCCAUUUAAGGUUUGUAUUAUAAUUAUCUUCAUAUCACAGAUGAAGGGACUGAUGCUCAGAAAGGUUAAGUACUUCUCUUUAGUUUUUUAAUUUUAUUUUUGAGAGGGACAGAGUGCAAGUGGGGGAGGGGCAGAGGGAUAGGGAGACAGAAUCCAAAGCAGGCUCCAGGCUCUGAGCUGUCAGCACAGAGCCUGACGCGGGGCUCGAACUCAUAGACUGUGAGAACAUGACCUGAGCUGAAGUCGGACACCCAACUAAUUGAGCACCCAGGCACCCCAGUACUUCUGUGUUUAAACUGUGACUUCCUCAGGCAAAGAAGAUGCUUAAGAACAGUACUUGUCAGUGGGAAGUGGUAUCUGGAAGCAGGAAUGAGAAGCCUGGAACUGUGUGGAGAGGGGCGCCUGGCUGGCUCAGGCGGAAGAGCAUGUGACUCUUGAUCUUGGGGUUGUGACUUCAAGAUCCACGUUGGAUGUAGAGAUCAAAUAAAUAAAACUUAAAAAAAAAUGUGUGGAGAAUAGAAGAGGUAAGGUAAUAGCAAAUUAUGAAAACUGCAUGUCCCAGCAAGAACUGCCAUUCAUCCCUACCACUCAGGCUCAGACUGGGUUAUGCUCUAGGGGUGUGUGUAAACACAUCUCUAUAGCAACCAUCUGGUUUCUGUCCUUCUAUGACAAUACAGGCUUGCAGUGUCUAAAUAUGGGCACUGGUGAGGAUGAGUGUGGCUGGGGAGGGGAAGUUGCCUGCUGAGUCAAAGGAAAAUUGUGCAGAAAAGGCAGAUUCCUUUGGUGUGCCCUCAUCUACCCCUCCCAGCCCACCCCCAAGGUGUCACUUUCGGGGCCAUGGAGGUAGAAGCUGGAGGAUCCCAUCUGCUGAAGGCAUGCUACCAUGCCCAGAGGGAAACAUGAGGGAGAGAAGCCAGGCGCAGGGUAUAGGAGUAAGGAUGGGUGCUGCUGAGAGGAUUAAAUGCGACCAGGACCGAGUUACCGGAGCCCCUUCCUUAAGUCAGCACAGUGGUUCUCAACUAGGGGAUCCUAGAGAACAUUUGGCAACAUCUGGGGACUUUUGUUGUUGUUCUGACUGAGCAUUUAGUGGGUAGAGGACAGAGCUGCUGAUAACAUCUCUAAAAUAUACAGGACAGUGCCCACAACAAAAGAUGUACCUAGUCCAAAAUGUUCACAGUCCCAAGGUAGAGAAAGCAUGAGUUAGAGGAUGCUGGUCCUACAGUAGCCCUCUCCUCGAUCCACUGCAGGACACCAUCACAUGUUAUUUGAAGGGGAUACCAUGGACACCAGCUUGUUCAGCUUGGCCCUGAGCUCCUCUCAAGCUUCCAACCCGAGUAUUUAGUUUAAUUUUUUAAAAUAUGUUUACUUAUUUUGAGAGAGUGCACACAUGCACGAGUGGGGGAGGGGCAGAGAGAGAGAGGGAGAGCCCAUCCCAAGCAGGCUGUGCAGUGUCAGCACACAGCCGGAUGUGGGGCUCGAUCCCAUGAACCAUGAGCUUAUGACCUGAAUCAAAAUCAAGAAUGGGAUGCUAAACUAACUGAGCCACCCAGGUGCACCUAGUUUGUUUACUUCUAAUAAAAAUAAAUGAAAGCCAGAGUCCCAAAUUUGCUGUGAAGUCAGCCUCUAUAGAAGAUGGCCUUAAAGCUGCCUUUAACGGCUGUGCAGCUAGGCAAAAGGCACUAUCUCUUGGCCUCAGUUUUACCAUUUGUGAAGUGAGUACACUGAAUGCAUGAUCUCUAAUGUCCCUUUAGUUCCCAAACUUUGCACUUCUGAAUAUUUUUCAUAUGUAGUUGUGCCCAGUUUUGGUCACUGGAACAGAAAAUGACUCAGAAGUGCAAGUAGGGAAGUCUGAAGGGGACUCAGACUUUCCUAAUCAUAACAGGCAUUUCAGACAUGGACCUUAACUGUUGAGCCAGGGCUCACGGUCACUGAAUGAAGCCAGGACUUCCCUUUGUGUCUCUGAGUAGGUGGUCUCUUCAUGGGGUAAUUUUAGCAACAGUAAAUUGCUUUUGCUAACCACUCACUCUCACCCCCUACCAACAGGUCUGCUAAUGCAUGAGAGUUUUCUUUCUCAUUAAAAAUAUAAAUAUUGUAGGGGCACCUGGGUGGCCCAGUUGGUUAAACAUAUGACUUCAGUUCAGGUCAUGAUCUCAGUUUGUGAGUUUGAGCCCCGUGUUGGGCACUGUGCUGGCAGCUCAGAGCCUGGAGCCUCCUUCAGAUUCAGUGUCUCCCUCUCUCUCUGCCCCUCCCCCGCUCAUGCUGUCUCUCUCUCAUAAAUCAAUAAAACAAU